rnacentral:rRNA from 1 species
UACGUAGGGGGCAAGCGUUAUCCGGAUUUACUGGGUGUAAAGGGAGCGUAGGCGGCUUAGUAAGUCAGAAGUGAAAGCCCGCAGCUCAACUGCGGGACUGCUUUUGAAACUGCCAAGCUAGAGUGUCGGAGAGGUAAGUGGAAUUCCUAGUGUAGCGGUGAAAUGCGUAGAUAUUAGGAGGAACACCAGUGGCGAAGGCGGUUUGCUGGGCCAUUACUGACGCUCAUGCACGAAAGCGUGGGGAGCAAAUAGG